UUUUUAGGGGCGAAUCCAUGCGCCGUCUUUAGAUUAAAAAUCUAACACCUGAAAGCUCGGUCACCUAAAA
rnacentral:tRNA from 1 species